rnacentral:rRNA from 1 species
AUGGUUCAGGGAGCAGAAAGGAGCAGCGAGCAGCAGCGGCGGCUGACCUUGAGCUCUCGGUUGGAGUGGAGGGAGGCGGCCGGCGAGGGAUAUGCGGCCAGCGGGGAAGGAUUCGGAGUUGCGGCGGAGCAGGAAACCGGCGGGGAAAGGCGGACGCCGGUGAGGGAGCUUUCGAUCGCGGCGAGGAAGGGCGACCAGAGGGGAUCAGGCUCUCGAUUGGAGCGGCGCAGGCAACCGGCGGGGAAGGUGCCGGAGAUGUGGACGACGGAGGAGCCUGGCGAAGGGGAGGAGCGACGGAGGAAGACGAUGGAGUCCUCGCGGAGGCAAGGAGCGACGGAGGAAGACGACGGCCCGUGCGAUUUCAAAUCGAUGGGUGGGGGAGGGGUAGUUUGGUAA